rnacentral:rRNA from 1 species
ACGCUCGACACCUACGGGGGGCAGCAGUAGGGAAUCUUCCACAAUGGGCGCAAGCCUGAUGGAGCAACACCGCGUGAGUGAAGAAGGGUUUCGGCUCGUAAAGCUCUGUUGUUGGAGAAGAACGUGCGUGAGAGUAACUGUUCACGCAGUGACGGUAUCCAACCAGAAAGUCACGGCUAACUACGUGCCAACAGCCGCGGUAAUCUGAGCGGGCUGGCAAGGC